AGAGUUUGAUCAUGGCUCAGAACGAACGUUGGCGGCGUGGAUUAGGCAUGCAAGUCGUACGAAUCCCAUCUGGGUAACUGGAUGGGGGAAGUGGCGAAAGGGGCAGUAAUACAUGGGUAACCUACCCUUGGGCCUGGGAUAGCUGUUCUAACGGACAGGUAAUACCGGGUACGCCGGCUGUGUCGCAUGACAUGGUCGGGAGAGGGCAACCGCCCGAGGAGGGGCCCAUGCGAUAUUAGCUAGUUGGAGGGGUAACGGCCCACCAAGGCGAAGAUGUCUAGCGGGUGUGAGAGCACGACCCGCGCCAUUGGCACUGAGACACUGGCCAGACUCCUACGGGAGGCUGCAGUCGAGGAUCUUCGGCAAUGGGCGCAAGCCUGACCGAGCGACGCCGCGUGUGCGAUGAAGGCCCUUCGGGUUGUAAAGCACUGUCGAGAGGGAGCAAGCCGCAAGGUUGAGCGACCUCUGGAGGAAGCACGGGCUAAGUUCGUGCCAGCAGCCGCGGUAAGACGAACCGUGCGAACGUUGUUCGGAAUCACUGGGCUUAAAGGGCGCGUAGGCGGGAUGGCAAGUCGGAGGUGAAAGCCCCCAGCUUAACUGGGGAAGUGCCCUCGAUACUGCCGUUCUCGAGAGAGGUAGGGGCGUGUGGAACUUCCGGUGGAGCGGUGAAAUGCGUAGAUAUCGGAAGGAACGCCGGUGGCGAAAGCGAUGCGCUGGACCUUUUCUGACGCUGAGGCGCGAAAGCCAGGGGA
rnacentral:rRNA from 1 species